CAGCAGCCGCGGGAAUACGUAGGUGGCAAGCGUUGUCCGGAAUUAUUGGGCGUAAAGGGCUCGCAGGCGGUUUCUUAAGUCUGAUGUGAAAGCCCCCGGCUCAACCGGGGUGGGUCAUUGGAAACUGGGAAACUUGAGUGCAGAAGAGGAGAGUGGAAUUCCACGUGUAGCGGUGAAAUGCGUAGAGAUGUGGAGGAACACCAGUGGCGAAGGCGACUCUCUGGUCUGUAACUGACGCUGAGGAGCGAAAGCGUGGGGAGCGAACAGGAUUAGAUACCCCGGUAGUCCCUGUCUCUUAUAC
rnacentral:rRNA from 1 species